UCUGUUUGGCUGCUCUGCGGGAGCACACACAGUUCUCCCAGGAAAACCGUCCUUCCCGGGAGAACUGUGUCUCUGAGCCGCUGUGAGUUUGCUUUAAAAUGCUGCUCUGCGCUCCAAACAGUCCCCUGAAACUGUGCAAGAAAGAAAGAAAUUCAAAGGUUCAUACAACCUUUCAAAAUAAACAGAAAAAAGAUUAAAUCGCUAACCCUGGUGGUGGACACCGCAGGAUGCUGUGAAACUGAAGGAGCCCCACCAAGGCUGGCUGACUUGUGAGUACUGUGGCAGUGGACAGGUACCAGCAGUCUAACUGAGCAGCAGCCAGCAGCUGUUGUGGAGGCAAAAACUCUGUCCUGGGGUAAGUUCAGUGAGGCCAUCAAGAAAGACUAUCAGUCAGCCUUCAAGUUGGCCUGCUCUGCUCUGCUCAACCUUCAAGUUGGCCUGGCUGCCUGCCUGCGGACUGGCGAUUAUUGAUGACGUCAUCAAACGAAAGCAACGUCCAAAAUAUAAGACACUUAAAAAAAUAUACAUAUAUCACACAGUUUCUUUUCAUAGCUCUCCAUUUGGAGUAAUAAAUGAAAGAGAAGGGAAGAAUUCAGAUUGGGCCUUAAUUAUAUUAUUUAAUCACGUAUAUGACUGAGUGAUAUUUAAUUUUAAUAAGUAAAUAAGCUAAUUAUUAUCGGAGCACUGUUUAUAUAGAAGUAGCAGAGUUUAAAAUAUGUCUUUUAGAGCUAAAAAGAGUCACAGUAUUUGAUGUUAGGCAAAAAUGUUGCAAACAUUCCAAAAUAAAAUGGUAAUAGGAUUUUCAAUUGCAUUUUUAAUCUUACACAGCAAACUUUGGCUGCUAAGGCUGAUGUUCUUCGCACAUAUUCAUGUGCCACCAGCUUAAAAACUGAUGGGAAUUCAUGUUGGCGACACAUAAUAUGAACAGCCAAAAUACACAUUGCUGCAUUGCAGCUCUAUAUUAAGCACAUCCAAGGCUAAAUAUUGUUAUUGGACGCAUGUGUUCAAUGUUAAAGUCCUGUUAGCUGUCACGCACCGAAAGAGCAGAGUGCAAUGAGCUAGAGCGGUUCUCGGGAACCAUUUAGUGUAUUAACCAUAACCGUAAUCCAAACCUUAAUCUUUCAUUCAGGUAUGUCCAGCCAAGAAGAAGUUCAACCCUGGUUGCUCAUAUUUUGAAAAACAAUAGGUGUCAUUGAAUAUCGAAAAAAUAAUGAACCGAGUUGUCCUUUGAUAUUAAAGCAGACUUUUCUAACUCUGUGAUUUCACUUUAGCCUCAAAGAGUGACUGAAAGUUCAAAAGACGCCAUUCACCAGUGGACCGUGGAUCAGACGACGGGA